GACGAACGCUGGCGGCGUGCCUAAUACAUGCAAGUCGAGCGAAGUGGAGAGAGCUUGCUCUCAAAGCUUAGCGGCGAACGGGUGAGUAACACGUGGGCAACCUGCCUGACAGACCGGGAUAACUUGGGGAAACUCAAGCUAAAACCGGAGAGGAUCUCAAAUCGCAUGGUUUGAGAUGGAGAGUCUGAACGACACUGUCAGAUGGGGCCGCGGCGCAUUAGCUAGGUGGUGGGGUAAGGGCCUACCAAGGCGACGAUGCGUAGCCGACCUGAGAGGGUGACCGGCCACACUGGGACUGAGACACGGCCCAGACUCCUACGGGAGGCAGCAGUAGGGAAUCUUCCACAAUGGACGAAAGUCUGAUGGAGCAACGCCGCGUGAGUGAUGAAGGUUUUCGGAUCGUAAAACUCUGUUGUUAGGGAAGAACACCCGGGAGAGGAUCCCGGAUUGACGGUACCUGACGAGAAAGCCCCGGCUAACUACGUGCCAGCCGCCGCCGUAA
rnacentral:rRNA from 1 species